AACGAACGUUAGCGGCGCGCCUAACACAUGCAAGUCGAGCGAGAAAGGGCUUCGGCCCCGGUACAGCGGCGCACGGGUGAGUAACACGUAGGUAAUCUACCCCUGGGUGGUGGAUAACCUUCCGAAAGGAGGGCUAAUACAGCAUGAGACCACGAGUCCGAAAGGGCAUGAGGUCAAAGCCGGCCUCUUCACGAAAGCUGGCGCCUGGGGAUGAGCCUGCGGCCCAUCAGCUAGNGGUAGGGUAAUGGCCUACCAAGGCGAAGACGGGUAGCUGGUCUGAGAGGAUGAUCAGCCACACUGGAACUGAGACACGGUCCAGACUCCUACGGGAGGCAGCAGUGGGAAUCUUGCGCAAUGGGCGAAAGCCUGACGCAGCGACGCCGCGUGA
rnacentral:rRNA from 1 species